AUGAGAGUCCCAAAUAAGGAGGCUCCAGAGAUGCUAGCUCUAUGUCAGGAAAUCAGGAAUUUUGGACAUUUUCUUCCCGUGAGUUUCAUUUUCUUCCUUCAUGCUGCAGGGACUGCUCUAAGCAUUUCCUUUCUUUCUCUUUGCCCCCCACCCCCUCUUGUCAUUUUAGACAUUGAUGAAUGUGAACAUGGCCAAGAGAAUCCCUGCCCCUCUCUGCAGAUUUGCGUGAACAUACCUGGGAGCUUCAAAUGUGCCUGUCAGGGCUCCCUGAUUCCGUCUCAGGAUGGCACCACCUGCAUUGGGGGCCAAGGAGUCACUGUUACUUCAUUGGCUGCAGCUGCAGCUAUUGUGGCCGGAGCUAUUUCUCUCAUUGCCGUAGCUGUGGCACUGCAUAGAAGGUGUUUCAGGAGCAAGAAGGAGGUCUCCCUUUCUAGAGAUAGUCGCUGUCCCCAGGAUUGUUCCAAAGAAGGCCAGAAUCCUGACUCAAGUUAG
rnacentral:lncRNA from 1 species